AGGCUGCCGAGAUCGCUGACAUCCUGUCGCAGUACGGGCUGGGCCCCGAGGAGUACGGCCCCGUGGUGACCUCCCUCCGCAACAACCCCAAGGCGUGGCUGGAGUUCAUGAUGAAGUUCGAGCUCGGCCUCGAGAAGCCCGAGCCCCGGCGGGCGCUGGUGAGCGCCGCCACGAUCGCGCUCUCCUACGUCGCCGGCGGGCUCGUGCCGCUGCUCCCCUACGUGUUCGUGCCGCGCGCCGAGCGCGCCAUGGCCGUGUCCGUCGCCGUCACGCUCGCCGCCCUGCUCUUCUUCGGCUUCGUCAAGGGCCGCUUCACGGGCGACCGGCCGUUCCUCAGCGCCGUGCAGACCACCGUCGUCGGCGCGCUCGCCUCCGCCGCCGCCUACGCCAUGGCCAGGGCCGUGCAGUCCAUAUGAUGAUCAUCAGCGAUGAAGGAAGCAGCUAGUAGUAAUUAAGCCUGGCUACUUGCUAAUUAUAUAUAUGC
rnacentral:lncRNA from 1 species